AAAAAAAAGUCAUUAAUUAUCAAUUUUUAGUAACAUAUAUAAAAAAAUCAUCACAAUAAAUUAUUUUUAACAAUAAUUUUAUAAAAAUUUAUUUUUAAUAAAAUUUAAUGGAAAUUAAUAACUAUUAGGACCGCGGAGUUUAUCCCAAAUAGAAUAAAAUAAUUGACUAUAUAUACAAUAGAUGCUGCCUAACCAAACCAAGGCCUCACAUCUCACCUUUACAAAAACCCCAGAAGCAUCUUCAUUCAUUUUUUGUUAUUAUUUACAUUGCUAUAUAGGAUGUUGAGAACCAAUUUUCUAUAUUUUUCCCCUCAUUUUUAUUUAUUUACUUUUUCUAUUUCGAAUUCAAAUUGUUGCAGAAGCUCGUGUUGAAGGUGAUGACCAUGACCGAUGAGAAGACAAAGAAGAAAGCUAUAGAAGCCACUGCUGAUUCUACGGAGUAGAUUCGAUAGCGGCGGAUCUGAAGGAGCAGAAAAUAACGAUGAUUGGAGAGAUGGACACUGUGGCAGUGGUGAAGAAGAUGAAGAAAGUUGGGAAGGUUGAUAUCAUAUCAGUUAGGGUGUUCGGGGAUCGAUUUUGUACGGUUUACGGUUCGGUUUUGAUCCGCCCGUACCUCUGUGGUUUGGGAAAAAGUCAAACCGCAACCGCCCGCAGUGCGGUUUGCGGUUUGUGACGAUAGAGUUUGCGGAUGUGCGAGUAGUUGCGGGCGGUUUGCGGUUUGAAUAAUUUACAUUACAAAAAAAAAAAAAAUUUGAUUGCAUAAACAGAUCUAAUUACAAAUUCAACAUAAUUAAUAAUUACAGAUUCAACAUAAUUUAAAUAAUUACAAAUUCAACGGAUUGAAUAACACAUUGAAUAACAUAUCUAAUUACAAAUUCAAUAACAUAUCUAAUAACAUUUAUAAUUAAUAAUUAAUAAUUACAAAUUCAACAUAAUUAAUAAUUGAUAAUUAAUAACAGAUUCAAUCACAUAUCUCACAGAUUGAAUAACAGAUUUAACACAGAUUAACAUAGAUUUAACAAAUAAACAAAUAAAAAAAAACAUCUGAUUGCAUACACAUCUAAAAAUUGCAUAAAAACAUCUAAUUUAACACAGAUUUAACACAAAUUUAACAGAUUUAACACAGAUCUAUUGCUUAUACAUCUGAUUGCAUAAAAAAAAAAAAAAAAAAAAAAAAAAAAAAAAAGAGACCGGGGAGAUCAGACAUAGACCAAACA